UACGGAGACUGCAAGCGUUACUCGGAUUUACUGGGCGUAAAGGGUCCGUAGGCGGCCGUGUGUGUCGGGUGUGAAAUCCUGCAGCUUAACUGCAGAACUGCGCCCGAAACUACACGGCUAGAGUAUUGGAGAGGUGAGUGGAAUUCCUGGUGUAGCGGUGAAAUGCGUAGAUAUCAGGAGGAACACCAACGGCGAAGGCAGCUCACUGGACAAUUACUGACGCUGAGGGACGAAAGUGUGGGGAGCAAAAGGG
rnacentral:rRNA from 1 species